rnacentral:lncRNA from 1 species
GUUGCUGUGGAACGCCCGCUGGCUCCAUUUUGCUGAUGUGCGUUAUGAAACGUAACCUAAGUUUCAAAGCUGGUCUUAAAUUACAAAUUAUUUUCUCAACUUGGUCUUUCACACUGUCACCUGUAAACAUAUAUUUCAUGUGAUACAGGAAGUCACAUAUAGGAUCCAUGUAGUUCAGAUGUGAGCUGUAUUGAUCAGCAUUCAGGAGCAUUUCAUAAAAUGCCACUCCAAUCUCUAUCAUACAUCGUGUCCUCU